rnacentral:rRNA from 1 species
UAUUAAAAACAUGGCCUUUUGAUUAUAAUUUAAGGUCUGGCCUGCCCAAUGAAGAUUUUUAAAUGGCCGCGGUAUCUUGACCGUGCAAAGGUAGCAUAAUCACUAGUUUUUUAAUUGAAAGCUUGCAUGAAAGGUCGGAUAAGAAAAUAACUGUCUCUAUUUAAAUUUAUUAGAAUUUUAUCUUUAAGUAAAAAAGCUUAAAUGAUUAUAAAAGACGAGAAGACCCUAUAGAGUUUUAUAUUUUUAGAAAAAUAAUUGUUUUAGUAUUUUAAAUUUUAUUUGAUAAAAGUAUUUAGUUGGGGCGAUUGAAAAAUUAAAAGAACUUUUUUUGAUGAAAAAUCAUUGAUUUAUGAGUAAAUGAUCCUUAAUUUGAGAUUAUAAGAAUAAAUUACCUUAGGGAUAACAGCGUAAUUUUUUUUGAGAGUUCUAAUCGAAAAGAAAGAUUGCGACCUCGAUGUUGGAUUAAAAUUAAUUUUUGGUGUAGGGGCUAAAGGUAUUAGGUCUGUUCGACCUUUAAAAUUUUACAUGAUCUGAGUUUAAACCGGCGUGAGCCAGGUCGGUU